rnacentral:lncRNA from 1 species
AGACUAUAUAAAGAAGAUUUGUUACUGAAUUUGGAGACUCAUAACAAGUCGGUCCUCUAUUUUAUAGAAAAGAGAUGAAAGAAAUAAAGGCGAGAUUUCCUUCCCGUCGAGAACCUUCUUCUAUUAACCUUGCUACCAUAAAGGAGAGCUUGGCACCCGCUCAACGCGUCAAAUCGGUUUUGCCGAAUCUGCUUUGAUACGAGAUUUAUAUCGCACGCGCCCGACCUCCCAAACCUGCAGCGGUUCGGCGUCGUCGUCCUCCCGAGAAGAAGGGUGGGAGAUAUGGCAGGGUCAGGCUACCUCAAUCGCACCGGAGCUCUACAAGCUCUCGUGAUCUUCUUCUUGAUACUCUGCCGCUCCUCAACCUUAGCACGACCUCUGACGACGAUGGAGAAAAAGCUUUCCAUGGCCGAGGGGCUGAGAUUUCAAAUGUUGCCCAAAGGCGUGCCUAUUCCUCCAUCCGGGCCUUCCAAAGGGCAUACACCUGAUCCUCCUGAAUCCGUCGCCUUCGUCCGUGGAGAACCGAUGAGGCCUCGCAAUCACCCUGGAACGAUGUAGAUUGUAGAGUCGGCCUUCCUCCUCUGCGUCCAGCGGUACCAUGAUUUCCUAUGUUACCCAAGGGUGCAAAACAAAAACAAUGGGGGAUGCAAUAAUAAAAUAAAGGAUAUGUUUUUA